rnacentral:lncRNA from 1 species
AUGGAAGAUUUCAUCCCCGUCAACCAAAAAACAGAACACCAAGAACAUGGGAAUACAGGGCGGCCGUGGGAAGAAACGGUAACUACUUCCCAAGAUCCUGAGCUUGGGUUAUCCGAAGCCCUAGAGUUGGAGCAGGGGCCAGAAACUGGACUCCAGACCAGGAGCAGCCCUCCUAGAAUGCCCCUCUCUGGAGCCAGAACGCCGGAUCGACCUGCGGAUGACCUCGUAGGACCACGCUCAUCAUUUCCAUCUUCCUCAUCUCAGGAGCUCCCUUCCACUCUUUCUCCCCUGGCUCUGGCCAGGCAGGACUUUAUGGCACCAUGGCAGUCAGACAAGACCAUUAGUGUUAUUUCUGAAGCUGAGACACCUCAUUUUGGCCAUUUGGAACAAUUAUCUGAUAAAGGUGGAUCAACUCCUCAUCAAACAUGUCAGUCAAAGGGAAACAACUUUCAUCAGUCUCAGCAAACUAAAUAUCCCCUGUAUGAACUGAGGGAUGUGAGCGACCACACCUCUAAACAGAAAGAGCUGAGAUUUGACAUUUUUCAAGAAGACGACUCAAACAGUAACUAUCAUCUAGAUCAGCCUGAGUCUGGGGCUUCUGAAGUGGCCCCCAGCGUGCUUGAGAUUGCCGUUCAAAAUACUAAGGCUUACCUACUGAAGACCAGUAGCAAGUCGGGCUUAAAUCUAUAUGAUCAUCUUUCUGAAAUGCUGACCAAGGUCUUAGAUAAGCGUCCUGAAAAUGCUGUGGACAUCAUUGAAAAUAUUAGCCAAGAUGUCAAGAUGGAACAUUUUAGUAAAAAAUUAGAUACACUCCAAAAUGAGAAUGAGAUGCUUCCAACCUAUGAAAUGGCAGAGAAACAGAAAACUCUUUUUCUUCAGGGAAAUUUAGAAGGAGCUGACCAAGAACUGGAAGAUGAAAUAGCAGAACAUGCUCUUCCAAACAUAAUGGAAUCAGCUUUUUAUUUUGAACAAGCUGGAGUUGGUUUGGGCACAGAUGAGACUUACCGCAUAUUUCUUGCCCUCAAGCAGCUUACUGACACCCACCCAAUCCAAAAAUGUCGUUUCUGGGGCAAGAUCUUAGGUCUGGAAAUGAAUUAUAUUGUAGCUGAAGUGGAAUUCCGUGAGGGAGAAGAUGAAGAGGAGGUGGAAGAGGAAGACGUACCUGAAGAGAGGGACAAUGGAGAUAGUGAAGCUGAUGAAGACGAUGCAGAUGAAUUACCAAGGCCCUUUUACAAGGCCCCACAGGCUAUUCCAAAAGAAGAAAGCAGAACAGGUGCCAACAAAUAUGUCUAUUUUGUUUGCAAUGAACCAGGAAGACCAUGGGUGAAGUUACCAGCAGUGACACCUGCGCAAAUCGUUAUUGCAAGAAAAAUCAAGAAGUUUUUCACUGGGCGAUUGGAUACUCCCAUUAUAAGCUACCCACCCUUCCCAGGAAAUGAGAGUAAUUACUUACGAGCACAAAUUGCCAGAAUUUCAGCAGGGACCCAUGUCAGCCCUCUAGGAUUCUAUCAUUUUGGUGAGGAAGAAGGAGAAGAGGAAGAAGAAAUAGAAAGUGGGCGAGAUAGCUUUGAAGAAAACCCUGAUUUUGAAGGCAUCCAAGUGAUUGAUCUGGUGGAAUCCCUAUCCAAUUGGGUUCAUCAUGUACAACAUAUCCUCCCUCAGGGUCGGUGUAAUUGGUUCAACCCCAUACAAAAAAGUGAGGAAGAAGAGGAAGAAGAAGAUGAAGAAAAAGAAGAAGAAAAAGGAGAAGAGCUUGAUGACAUAGAACAGGAAGUGGGGCCUCCACUCUUGACACCAAUCUCUGAAGAUUUAGAGAUCCAGAAUACAUCGCCUUGGACAACACGGUUAUCCUCAAAUCUCAUUCCUCAAUAUGCGAUUGCAGUCCUUAGAUCCAACCUUUGGCCUGGAGCAUACGCCUUUUCCAAUGGCAAAAAGUUUGAAAAUUUCUACAUAGGCUGGGGUCAUAAAUACAGUCCAGACAGCUAUACACCUCCAGUUCCCCCAGCUGUUUAUCAAGAGUACCCCAGUGGACCAGAAAUUACGGAAAUGGAUGAUCCUACUGUGGAGGAGGAGCAGGCCUUCAGGGCUGCACAAGAAGCAGUUCAAGAGGAGAAUGAAGAAACUGAGGAAGAGGAAGAUGAUUAUGACUAA